CUGGCAAGGUGGCACAUGAGUCUGAGGUAACAAGUUCACAAGUUCAAGGUCAGCCUGGCCUACGUGGGACGAUCCUAUCCCAAAGAAAACAAUGGGAAACUCAAGAACAUCCUCAAAUGAUGCUGUCAAUGAGACAGGAAUGCAGCCAUCACAGGGAUAACAUUGAGGUUUUUAUUUAGGAAAGCAUUUAUUACGGUGAAUGACUUCCCGGACUAUGAUGGAGGCAGAUGAAAGCUAGUGAGAGCUGUUCUAGUGAAGCCGAAGGUCACACAUGGAGUGUUCACAGCUGCCUUUACACUGGAUAUGACUCAGGAUUAGGACCCAAUGGGGGAGGAGCUAAAUGAAGCUAGCCCCUUCUUCAUGUAGAAGUUGUGAAGAGGAAGUGAUUUCUAAAUAGUGUUCUUCCAGUUUGUUUGGAUCUCAGGCGACAGUAAUGCUUUGCAGGACAUCUGAGAGUCAUCCUCACAGACAGACCCUUCCAUCAAAGCUACACAAACCUUCUCGAUGAGCUCGAUGCAGGCGGCCAGGUCCAUCCCGAAGUCGAUGAACUCCCACUCGAUGCCUUCCUUCUUGUACUCCUCCUGCUCCAGCACGAACAUGUGGUGGUUGAAGAACUGCUGCAGCUUCUCGUUGGUGAAGUUGAUGCACAGCU